UCCUAGACGAUGCGGUUUGCAUUGUUGAUGAUUAUUUUGACUGACGUCGACAUUUAUCAAAAAAUAUUAAAUUCAGAUUAUAAUUGUGUGGAAAAUAUUUCUGGGACUGAAUAGAAGGAAUGAAGUAUUAUACAGAUUGCAAAUUGCGUGAUCAUAGAGUGAGAGCAUUACACAAGUGUCCCGGCAUCUAAG